UGGAUCGAUCCGAGCCAUCAUAACCUAGCCGCAACCGCAAAAUCCUCCCUUGUCGUUGCCCCCAUCCAUGUCCACCUCGACCCGAUCACCGCUCCCGCCAGCAGACCCCGAGGCAGAGAGAUCGCCGGCCCAGGUUUAUUUCCCCUUCAAUACCAUCCCCUACCUUGCCGCCAUCACCAAAAGUUAAGUUUGACUGAGGACACCCGGUGCCAGCAAUCGCCGGAGAAAGACGGGCACGAGAAGGAGAAGCCGCUGGCCCGCUCCGCAGCGGCGACGCUCCUGCGAACCUCGCGAACCCAGGGAAGAAGAUGUGCCGCUUGGAAUCUGUUCCUUCCAUCCUCUACAGGUCAGUUUCUCUACCCCUUCUGUACAUCCCCUAUUUUUGAUGGAUUCACUUGCUUGAUCUGAUCUCUGUUUUGGGGGAAGAGGAGAUCAGAGGAUGAGCACCAGAUGAUCCGACUACAGAAACUGAGAGAAAUCAGAGGCUUGACAGCCGUGAUUUAUUGCUUCUUAUAUCACGCAGGCGUUAGGGCUCUCCCAAUCUCAUCCUAGAGGAAUAGGACACCUUGCAUGACCGUGAGCACCGCUGCUCAUCGCAGCUUGUCAGAUUAGGCUGGUUCAAGCAGUGUCUUAGGCAUGCUACUAUCCAAGGCGGUCUUCGCGCUUCCACCCUACAUCCACGCUAUCCACCAUGUCUCUCCCUAGAUGUGUGGGGAGGAGCAAGCAGGAGGGAAGGAGGAGCACGCAUGACUCCUCUGUCCUGGCCAUCAACACCAAAAUUUGUUCAUAGUUAUUCAGGUGCACUAUUUAGUUAUAUAUGUUAGGAAAAUCUCCCUCGGUGGAGAUCCUGCAGUACUAUAAUUUUGUAGCUUCCUUGUAAUGUAUAAGAUCACGAUAUACACCACAUUCAGUUGCAAGGACGAUGGCGAUGAAAGUUGACAAGGUACUUGAAAGACUACCUGGAAGGAAGAAAAAGAUGACCGUGAUUUUGAACGUGAAACCAGGAGAAAUGUUCUUGGGAUUCUUGCCAAAUGAGUAAUCCUACUUAAUAUGCUUUUGUUAUUUGGAACCUAUUACAGCGGUCUGUCAUGAGCAUAGGGCAUUGCUGCAUUUUAUCUGGAUGUGUACAAAUUUGUCAUAAUACUACCGUUUAUUUUGCAUCAUUCAUUUAGUCCAGUUUAGUCCUCACAUAUGUUCAUCUUACUGUUCAUUAGAUGGUGUUCGACCUUAAGAGCUGGUGAUUUCUGUACAUGCGCUGAACCAACGAAAGUUGUCAUAGAUUUUGUAGCUUUUACUUGGUAAGAACUAAGAAUAAUGUACACUCGUACUUGCUUAAUUUUUAAAUAGUUAAGUUUGUAAUGUACAUGAACAAGUGCAGCCACACGACUCACUUAAUACUCCUUCCAAUCCAGAAUAAGUGUCAGAUUUGAACUAAGGAUAAACUAACCUUAGUUCAAAAUUGCAACACGUAUUUUGGAUCGGAGGGAGUAGUAUUUAGCGAUGUCUUUGCCUUAUUAUUUAUACUACUAAAUUUUCAUGUAUUAAUGUGAACAGAAAGGCCAUGGUUGCAUAUUGGUUCUAUAUAAGUAUUACUUCCACUGUUUUUUCCCUAUACAAAUAUAUAAGGCUCUACUAACUAUAACUUUCCAUUUGGCUUCACUUUCCUGUUACAAUAAUCUUUUGGCAGAUUGGUGGUCAUAAAAUGCGGGGUUGUAGAUUUAUGAUCCAAUUUAUGAAAUGCUACAAAAAUCUUAGUAGACAUGAAAC